rnacentral:lncRNA from 1 species
CCAGGCUGGUCUUCAGCUCCUGAUCUCAGGUGAUCCACCCGCUUCAGCCUCCCAAAUUGCUGGGAUUACAGGCUUGUUUGGACUGAGUUCCAGAUCUGGGCUGUCAUGGAACAUAACAGGGACCCUUCAUGGGGACAGCAAGAAGGUUCACCGACCCAAUUCAGAGGAAGGAAGAGCCUGGCCUUCAAAAUUACUAUGACCAUCAGAAUGCCCUAGGAGAUCAAAGAAAUAACGGAGUGGGUGUGAGACCUUUUACAAAUGUGUGCACUCAAGCAGUGCAAAGGCAAACCUCCUGAGUCUCGCUCUGUCACUCAGGCUGGAGUGCAGUGGCAUGAUCUCAGCCCGCUGCAACCUUCGCCUUCCAGGUUCAAGCAGUUCUCCUGCCUCAGCUCUUGGACAAAACUUCAGCACUCCUGCUAGGGUGUGUCUGCCCUACUAAGACACUGUGCGCAGGUGGAGUUGAGGCUCUUAUGUAUGGAUCCUGUCCACUGUUGAGAUUGUGAAUUGCAUGUGUAGACUCAACUCACAGGAGGUGUUGACUCACAAACCUCCAGCUGGGACAUGUGCAGGAUUAGAAAUUUUAUUUCUGGAUCUUUCUUCAGAAGGCGUUGUAACAUCUCACUAAGCCCAGCACUCAGGCGAUGUGGCUUUCCUGCUAUGGCACUGCACACAAGAAGAAUGUUGACAUAUUCCUGGCCCAGAAUUCAGGUGGUUUGGUGACUCUCAAACCAUGAUUCAGCAGACCUGUGAGGCUGUGAGUUCCCUAUCAGAACACAAUCUGCAGGUUGUAUUGUGCCAUAUACCUGGGACCAAAUUACAAGCACAAUGAUGAAUCUUUUACCUGGAGUCAAGACAUGGGCAGGAUGAUGGAACUUAUCACUGGACCUUUCCACAGUGUUAUUGUGACAUAUGCCUUUGCCCAACAUGUGGUGAUUUGACUCCCCAGACUGGGUCCAGUUCACAAAUAAAAUUGUGCCGUAUACUUGGCCAAGAACCUAA